GCUGCUUCUGGUCUGUGACAGUUUCUCAGUCUUUUCCCUGUUUUUCAUAACCUUGACAGUUUUUAGAAGUCAUGGGUCAGGUAUCUUGAAGAAUAUCUCUUAAUUUGGGUUUGUAUGAUGUUCUUAUAAUUGAUUGGGAUUGUGAGUUCCUAGAAAGAAUAUCAGAGGAGAAGAGCCCUUCUCAUAUAUCAUAUUGGGAGUACAUGAUAUCUACAAGACAUCGCUGGUGACGCUGACCUUCAUCUCUUGGUUCAGCUCAUGGUAGUCCUGUGAGGUGCAGAGAUGGAAGAGAUGAAAGCUUGAAGGCUUGAGUUUCUGAUAAAAGUUUAAAGGCCUGGAGUAACACCCCACAGCUAGGAAGUGGGUAAUGUCUUUAAAAUCUCACUACACAAAGUACUGGCUUUGUGAAAAGGCUCUGACCUAUUUUGCCCUGCCUGGAUUGGUUUUAACAUCAUGUAGAUACUUCACUGGCUUUGUCUACUAACCCCAUGCCUGGGGAAUUAUAAGGAAGGGAUUCGGGCACCGUGUUGUCUGCGGCAUGAAUCUUGCCAGGCUGUGGCUGUCACCAAGGUUAUUGGACACUCCUCCCUGAGCAGGACCCACCUGGGAGGCAUGCAGAUGACAAGUGCCACUCAACCUUUUCCUCAGUGCCUGCUGGGCCCCGUGUGCAUGUUCAGACGGUCUCACUCUGUCA
rnacentral:lncRNA from 10 species